GAUGAACGCUGGCGGCGUGCUUAACACAUGCAAGUCGAACGAUGAAGCCCAGCUUGCUGGGUGGAUUAGUGGCGAACGGGUGAGUAACACGUGAGUAACCUGCCCUUAACUCUGGGAUAAGCCUGGGAAACUGGGUCUAAUACCGGAUAGGAGCGCCUACCGCAUGGUGGGUGUUGGAAAGAUUUAUCGGUUUUGGAUGGACUCGCGGCCUAUCAGCUUGUUGGUGAGGUAAUGGCUCACCAAGGCGACGACGGGUAGCCGGCCUGAGAGGGUGACCGGCCACACUGGGACUGAGACACGGCCCAGACUCCUACGGGAGGCAGCAGUGGGGAAUAUUGCACAAUGGGCGAAAGCCUGAUGCAGCGACGCCGCGUGAGGGAUGACGGCCUUCGGGUUGUAAACCUCUUUCAGUAGGGAAGAAGCGAAAGUGACGGUACCUGCAGAAGAAGCACCGGCGACUACGUG
rnacentral:rRNA from 1 species